rnacentral:rRNA from 1 species
UAAAACGUAGGGGGCGAGCGUUAUCCGGAAUCACUGGGCGUAAAGGGCGUCUAGGCGGCACGUCAAGUCUUGCGUGAAAUCUCCUGGCUCAACUAGGAGAGUGCGUGGGAAACUAGCGAGCUAGAGACGUGGAGGGGUGCACGGAAUUCCCGGUGGAGUGGUGGAAUGCGUUGAGAUCGGGAGGAACACCAGAAGCGAAGGCGGUGCACUGGCCACGGACUGACGCUGAAGCGCGACAGCGUGGGGAGCGAACGGGAUUAGAUACCCCGGUAGUCCACGCCGUAAACGAUGACGACUAGGUGUGUGUAACCGAAGGGUUAUGCGUACCGCAGCAAACGCGAUAAGUCGUCCGCCUGGGGAGUACGGCCGCAAGGCUA